AGUGAACGCUGGCGGUAGGCCUAACACAUGCAAGUCGAACGGCAGCACAGUAAGAGCUUGCUCUUACGGGUGGCGAGUGGCGGACGGGUGAGGAAUACAUCGGAAUCUACUUUUUCGUGGGGGAUAACGUAGGGAAACUUACGCUAAUACCGCAUACGACCUACGGGUGAAAGCAGGGGAUCUUCGGACCUUGCGCGAUUGAAUGAGCCGAUGUCGGAUUAGCUAGUUGGCGGGGUAAAGGCCCACCAAGGCGACGAUCCGUAGCUGGUCUGAGAGGAUGAUCAGCCACACUGGAACUGAGACACGGUCCAGACUCCGACGGGAGGCAGCAGUGGGGAAUAUUGGACAAAGGGCGCAAGCCUGAUCCAGCCAUACCGCGUGGGUGAAGAAGGCCUUCGGGUUGUAAAGCCCUUUUGUUGGGAAAGAAAAGCAGCAGGUUAAUACCCCGCUGUUCUGACGGUACCCAAAGAAUAAGCACGGGCUAACUUCGUG
rnacentral:rRNA from 1 species